rnacentral:rRNA from 1 species
ACGCCGCGUGGAGGAUGACGCAUUUCGGUGUGUAAACUCCUUUUAUAUGUCAAGAAAAUGACGGUAGCAUAUGAAUAAGCACCGGCUAACUCCGUGCCAGCAGCCGCGGUAAU